GUUUUGUCUUGUUCUUUUUAUUUGGCCUUUUAUUCUAAAUAAAACCACAUACAUAUAACACA
rnacentral:sRNA from 1 species